rnacentral:rRNA from 1 species
GCAAGCCGGCGACGGUAAGCCAAUCCCAGAAACCCUAUCUCAGUCCGGAUUGGAGUCUGCAACUCGACUCCAUGAAGUCGGAAUCGCUAGUAAUCGCAGAUCAGCAUUGCUGCGGUGAAUACGUUCCCGGGCCUUGUACACACCGCCCGUCACACCAUGGGAGUUUGUUGCACCAGAAGCAGGUAGCUUAACCUUCGGGAGGGCGCUUGCCACGGUGUGGCCGAUGACUGGGGUGAAGUCGUAACAAGGUAACCGUAAAGGG